CACGACACAUGUCCGCCAGAAGAUUACGAGCAACUUUAAGCCUAAAACUCAAAAGACUUGACGGUGUCCCAACCUACCUAGAGGAGCCUGUUCCAUAAUCGAUAACCCACGAUCAACCCCACCACUUCUAGAACCCAUACCAGCCUAUAUACCGCCGUCACCAGCUCACCUUUUAAAAGCCACAAAGUAAGCAUAAUAGUAUUUUACUAGUACGUCAGGUCAAGGUGUAGCCAACGAAGUGGUGUGAAUGGGCUACAUUAUCUGCCACAGAUUACCUACGAACUAUUUUUUGAUAAAAUUAUACAAAGGUGGAUUUAGCAGUAAACUAAGCAAGAACACUUAAUUUAACACAUGCCCUGGGACA
rnacentral:rRNA from 1 species